rnacentral:rRNA from 1 species
AGGACGAACGCUGGCGGCGUGCUUCAUACAUGCAAGUCGAACGAUAAGGUCUCUUCGGAGAUACAUAAGUGGCGGACGGGUGAGUAAUGUGUAGAGAAUCUGCCCUAGAGUGGGGGACAACAGUUGGAAACGGCUGCUAAUACCCCAUAUGAGCGUACCUGUGAUGGUAUUCUUGAAAGAUUUAUUGCUCUGGGAUGAGUCUGCAUCUGAUUAGCUAGUUGGGGGUGUAAUGGACCACCAAGGCGACGAUCAGUAGCUGGUUUGAGAGGAUGAUCAGCCACAAUGGGACUGAGACACGGCCCAUACUCCUACGGGAGGCAGCAGUAGGGAAUUUUGCGCAAUGGGGGAAACCCUGACGCAAGCAACGCCGCGUGAUUGAAUAAGCCCUUCGGGGUGUAAAGAUCUGUCAGUGGGGACGAAACUUGACGGUACCCACAGAGGAAGCAUCGGCUAACUCCGUGCCAGCAGCAGC